CACAAAACCACCGAUAUCAACUCUCUCACUGAUUACAUGACAAUAAAAGAUCUGAUAUUCUG
rnacentral:snoRNA from 1 species